rnacentral:rRNA from 1 species
UACGUAGGCAGCAAGCGUUGUUCGGAGUUACUGGGCGUAAAGGGUGUGUAGGCGGUUCCUUAAGGUUGCUGUGAAAUCUCCCGGCUUAACCGGGAGGGUGCGGUGAAUACUGAGGGACUAGAGUACGGGAGAGGAAAGUGGAAUUCCUGGUGUAGCGGUGAAAUGCGUAGAUAUCAGGAGGAACACCGGUGGUGUAGACGGCUUUCUGGACCGUAACUGACGCUGAGACACGAAAGCGUGGGUAGCAAACAGG